rnacentral:rRNA from 1 species
AUGGGAGACCUGAAUGAAAUUACUUAUGCUCCUGAGAAGGAGGGCGGAAGGAUGAGACCGCUGAAGUAUGUGCAAGCUUUCAGGGAUUGUUUGACAGAUUGUCAGCUUGAUGAUUUGGGAUACAUUGGUAAUAAGUUUACAUGGCAGAGAGGUGAUGUUCAUGAGCGCCUGGAUAGGGCACUGGGAAAUACUAGUUGGUCUGCUAGGUUCCCGGAUGCUGGCAUACAUAACCUCACAAUGACAGACUCGGACCAUCGUCCGAUCAUGAUGGAUUCAACCUACUCCACUGUUCAAUCGAAGGAUAGGAAACGUAGGAGAUUCGAAGGCAAAUGGUUGAAGGAAGAAAAAUUCAGGGAUAUAGUGCAAACAUCAUGGGAUCAUGCACCGCCGGGCGUCCCGGUGAUGACUAAGCUCGAAGCGCUUCACAAGGAUCUUCAUGAGUGGGACUGA